UACGUAGGGCGCAAGCGUUGUCCGGAAUUAUUGGGCGUAAAGAGCUCGUAGGCGGUUUGUCGCGUCUGUCGUGAAAGCCCACGGCUUAACCGUGGGUCUGCGGUGGAUACGGGCAGACUAGAGGCAGGUAGGGGAGAAUGGAAUUCCCGGUGUAGCGGUGAAAUGCGCAGAUAUCGGGAGGAACACCGGUGGCGAAGGCGGUUCUCUGGGCCUGUACUGACGCUGAGGCGCGAAAGCUAGGGGAGCAAACGGG
rnacentral:rRNA from 1 species